AGCUCAGUGGUCGGCAAACCGCGGCUCAUGAGCCACAUGCGGGUCGCGAGCCGCGGUUUGCAGCUCUGUUGA
rnacentral:pre_miRNA from 1 species